GGGAAGUAUGGUUGCAAAGUUGAAACUUAAAGAAAUAGACGGCAGGAAACACCAGGAAUAGAGCCUCCGGCUUAAUUUGACUAAAGAGGGGAAAACUUACCCGUCCCGGAUACAGGAAGGAUUGACAGAUUAAGAGCUGUUUCUUAAUUUUGUGGAUGGUGGUGUAUGGCUGUUUUUAGUUGGUGGAGCGAUUUGUCUGGUUAAUUCCGAUAACGAACGAGACUCCAGCCUACUAAAUAGACCCUCCAAUCCUUCGAGUUGGACGUUCUUCUUAGAAGAACAAGCGGAGUUUAAUCGCACGAGACCGAGCAAUAACAGGUCUCUGAUGCCCUUAAAUGUCCUGGGCUGCUCGCGUGCUACAUUGAAGGAAUCAGUGUCUCCUAAUUCUGCGGCAGGAACUCAGAGAUUUACCUGCAAAAGGCAGGGGUACCCAUCGGUUGAUACCGAAAUUUUGAACAGAAAUGCAACUUGACAAAUCAAUACUUACGCAAGUUCUAACAAGUCACGGCCAUUAUCUGUCCUAUCUAAA
rnacentral:ncRNA from 1 species